AUUGAACGCUGGCGGCAGGCUUAACACAUGCAAGUCGAGCGGGGUGAUGGUGCUUGCACUAUCACUUAGCGGCGGACGGGUGAGUAAUGCUUAGGAAUCUGCCUAUUAGUGGGGGACAACAUCUCGAAAGGGAUGCUAAUACCGCAUACGUCCUACGGGAGAAAGCAGGGGAUCACUUGUGACCUUGCGCUAAUAGAUGAGCCUAAGUCGGAUUAGCUAGUUGGUGGGGGAAAGGCCUUCCCAGGCGACGAUCUGUAGCGGGUCUGAGAGGAUGAUCCGCCACACUGGGGCUGGGACACGGCCCAGACUCCGACGGGGGGCAGCAGUGGGGAAUAUUGGACAAAGGGGAGGACCCUGAUCCAGCCAUGCCGCGUGUGUGAAGAAGGCCUUAUGGUUGUAAAGCACUUUAAGCGAGGAGGAGGCUCUUUUGGUUAAUACCCAAGAUGAGUGGACGUUACUCGCAGAAUAAGCACCGGCUAACUCUGUGCCAGCCGCCGCCGUAA
rnacentral:rRNA from 1 species